GCCAUUUCCGCCUCUCGCUCACCUGGUCCUGCCUCUUGGCUCCACCCAUUACCUCCAGGUGUGGGAGGACGCUCCGGGGCCGGCCCUUGCCGCGGGAGCGCUGCCUUCACGGUACUCUCUCGGUGCAAACCCUCAAGUGUCUAUAGUGUACUCUUGUGCACCUAGCGAUUUGCUCCUCAAAGGAGUCUCCGGAGAGAGAAGAGGCAAACAUUGCUAGAGAUCGAUCACAACUAGGCAGAGAGGCGGGGAAAGCAGGCUCCCCGCUGAGCAGGGAGCUCGAUGCCGCACUUGAGGCUCGGUUUAAUCCUAGGAUCCCAAGACCAACCUGAGCUGAAGGCAGAGGCUUAACCGAGCCACCCAGCCUACAUUUUGUGUAUCCACUCCACUGUGGAUGGACGUUGAGGUGAUUCUGCCCUUGUUGGAUGUUGUGAGUGGUGCUGAGAGGAACCGCCAGACUGUUUCAGCAGUGGUUGCAGCGUUUCACAUUCCCACCAGCAGACCAUGAGGGUUCCGGUUUCUCCACAGUCCUUGUGAACAAGUAUUCCCUGCCCCAUCCCCGGCCUUUUAGCACAGUUCAUAUCCUCUCUCCAGCUGCCUGGAUGUUGACAGACAAAAGCUGCUCAACUGAAAAGCCCUUCAUAGGAGCCUCAAAGCUAGAAGCUCCUCCGCCUAGUGCCCAGUAUCCUGGAACAGCUCGCAAAAGCUCCAGCACCAUCAUUAGAAAGAAGAUGAACCACAACCAUCAACUCCCUCAUCAUCUCAUCACUUCUCGGCCUUUGGGCUAAGCUCAAGCGUCCGCUGUGCCCCUGGGUUCUCAAGAGUUCAGGAGAAGCUAUGCUUUGAAGUAUCCCACGCCAUCCAGACAAGCCUAGAGCAGGUAAGCACGGAGGACUCCCCAAGGAAUGGAGAGAAAUGGCCCCUGAAAGAGUAAAUAAAGGCCCCAAGCUCCCCUAACUCUAAAGUCUGCACAAAAUAAGGUCAAAUCAUGGUAACUUGGAACUACCUGGGUUCUCCUGCUUCAUUUAAAUGUGAGGAAAGCUGUCUGAGGGGACAGUCAGCUCCCAUUUCUCGCCAUCUGCCAUGUCUACUGCCUCUAGUUUUGCCUUUACUUACUUUAUAUCUUCCCCAUAGCAGAUAGUGGUGUCUUCAGUCAGAAGUUCACAUGCAAAUCCUAUAUUUUCAGCAGUUUCUACAACAGAAAAAUAUUAAGUGAGGGUAUGUGUUGUAGUGAGUGCUGUGUAUUAUGUAAGACUGAUGAAUCACAGACCUGUAUCCCUGAAACAGGUAUAUAAUAUAUAACAUUAUAUGUUAAUAAAAAAUAAAAAUACAAAAAAAAUCUAAAAAUAAAUAAAAUUUAAAAAUUAAGUGUUGUUCCAGUUGAUGAAUGAUGGAGUUUAGCUAGUAAUGAGACUUUUUUUUUCAAGUCAUGAAAUAGAUUCAAGCCAGUAUGCUCUUUUUUCUGUGAUAAAAUAAGUGAAGCCACUUAUUUUUUAUAACUUUUCAGUUAUAAAAAGAACUGUAUCAUCAAACACAUGAACUGGUUAUUUAAUAAAUCAGUGUUCACUGAAGUACUAAGCAGUCAGUUCCUGUGGUUUAAUCAUUCUGUUAUAGAAGAAAAGAAAAGAUAACUAUUUCUACAAACCUUUACACAGGGCUCCUACUGCAGAUCCCCCCCCCCCCUUUUUCCAUUACCACCCAUUGUUAUGUGUUUAAGGUCAGGACUUCCCUUAGCUUAUCAGAGUGUGUAACCCAUUAACAACGUAAGGUAAGA